GAACAGUCUAAGAAAAAGAAAUAUAUAGAAUUGACAUGGAAGAAUAAUACCGUGAACGAAUGAGAUGUAGCUAUACGAAAUCCUGAAAGAGUGACAGAGCCCGAGAAAAGUUUUUGUCCUUAUCAGAAUCUCGCUUUAAUUUGUCUGCCCCGUGAGGUCACGGGGCAGACGAACUUUGUGGAGUAAACUUCAUGUGGACUAAAAUUUGUUUCUUAAAGUAUAAAUUGUGUUCUUUGUUCUUAAUUAAGUGUAAUAAUUAUUUCUUUAGAUAUUUAAAAUGGUGAAUUGUAGUGUUUUGGGCUGCAAAAGCCGCACUGACCGAAAAUGUGAAAACAUAACCUUUCAUACUUUUCCACGAGAUGUCUUUAUUAAUAAAAUAUGGACAAAGGCGACAGGAAGAGACAGGAAGACAGGAAGACAAAGGUGGCCUUCAUUAUCCGUCACCGUCAGUUAUUAAAUUAUGUGAAAUAGCGGAGGAAAUAUUUUAAAAAAAUAAACUACUAAUAAGCAAAAUAAACUUGAUGGAGCAUCUACUGCAAGCAUGUUGUACGAAAUGUUGUACGAAAUGACCUUAAUUUAUUUUCCGAAAAUGACCAUUUUCGUGAUAACCACCAUUAUAUUUUAUUAAUUAAAGCCAUUUGUAGAAAAUACUUAAAUGUGAGGUUACAUUAUUGUACUAAAUCCUUAACUUGUGAAGAAAAUGUAAGAAAUUUUUACACGAAAUUAAUUUUAUUCAAAGGACAGUAAAUUUUUUUUGGUAAAAAGAUUUUAUUCUUAAUUCCAUGCUGUGCUAGUAUAUUUUCCUAACUAAUGUUUUAUGAUGUACACAAUCAACAAAUCACAAAAUACACCAAGCAAUCAAUAAAUCAAUCAAUCAAAAGCGUA